UUCCCCUCUCCAUUCCCCAUCCCCUCCCUGCUUCCUCUCUCUGCUCCCUGUCCCCUUGCCGCUGGCACAGUGCCAGUCCCACCUGGAAUUCCUGGGAUCCCUCUCCAACCCCACCACACACACCCCGCACUUGCCCGGACCUGGCAACACUGACCCUUCCCAAACCCCAUCCCGGCCCCUUUUCCAUGUGCUCUGCAAACUCCGCCUCAGGGAUGAAACCUGAGGAUUUGAUGAUGCUUUCCCAGCUUUUCCAGGAAGGGCUGUAGUAGGAUGAGAUUUCCAGGUGUUCCUAGGAAUCUCCUGCCCUGGGAGAGAGGGAUCAGCUGUCAGUGAUGCUCCAGCUCUCCCAUUUUCCUGGCUCCCCGCUUCCUGAGUGACUUUUAAAAAGCUGUGGAGCGUUCCUGGAGUCACAUCCUGCAGGGAACAGAGCGGGGUGGGAGCAGAUCCUGAAAAGCCCUGGAUGCAAGGGGAAAGAGGGGGAUUGGCCCGCGUGGGAAGGAGCCUUGGCAGCGCCACAAAGAGCUGGGGGGAAAAAAACCGGGAAUCUGCGAUUUGUUUGGCGUUUCAUUCCCGGUUUUCUCACAUUCCUCCGCCUGACUCACAAACCUGCUGCUCUGCAUUUCUGGGAUUCAUCCUGGAUGUCCUGGAGCUCUGCAGCCUCCCUGGAAUCCUGCUCCUCCCAGGAUGGAUCCCAGGGCAUCCCUGCUCCGCAGGGAAGUUUUUUUCCCUUGGAAACAGCUGAUUGCUGUUUAAUUAACAACACUUCCCACGUUCCCUGAGCUUUGGGAAUUGUGCAGAGGAGCUUUUCUCCAGGAUGCUGCUCUCUGUGCUUAUUCCCUAAGCCGGGAUGAGUCGAUCCAAGAGGUUCCCGUAAUUUUGGAAGUCGCCCUGGAUAAUCCACAAACACAGAAGGAUCAGGAACAAAUCCGUGACAGCGGGGAGAAAACAAAAUUUCAUCCAAGGGACACGCGGGGAAGCGCAAGGACAAGGACACGGACGUGGGAUACGGGCGGAUUCAGGAUUGGAAGGAUUGCUCCCUGGAGUUUUGCCGGGAAAACAAACCUGGAAUUAACAGGUAAUUUUUCCAUAUUUCCACCUGCCUUUAACUAAAAUAAUCCCAAAUUACCGCCUCCCAGCCCAGCCUUUGCUCCAACUUCCAGAAGACUCCGGAACGGCGACUUUAUAGCCCAAAACUCCAUAAAACCAGAGCUGGAAUUACCUCGUUCUCCUGGGGAAACAAUUCCAGGUUUUAUCUGUGGAUAUUAAAAGGGGAUGAUUGUUCCGUGUA